rnacentral:rRNA from 1 species
UUCACACUGUGUGACGGCGGCCACGGUAAGUGAGUGGGUGGGAAGGUUAAUCGGUGUUACGUGGCGGAUAUCGCGCUUUGGUAGCUAAUUAAGUCAAAUGUGACAGACCCGAGCGUAACGUGGGAAUUGCAUUCGAUACUGGUUGGCUAGAGUAUGAGAGAGGAUUGUAGAAUUCCAGGUGUAGCGGUGAAAUGCGUAGAGAUCUGGAGGAAUACCGAUGGCGAAGGCAGCCAUCUGGCCUAAUACUGACACUGAGGUGCGAAAGCAUGGGGAGCAAACAGGAUUAGAUACCCCAGUAGUC